rnacentral:rRNA from 1 species
AGAGUUUGAUCCUGGCUCAGGAUGAACGCUGGCGGCGUGCUUAACACAUGCAAGUCGAGCGAAGCACUUAAGUCUGAUUCUUCGGAUGAAGACUUUUGUGACUGAGCGGCGGACGGGUGAGUAACGCGUGGGUAACCUGCCUCAUACAGGGGGAUAACAGUUAGAAAUGACUGCUAAUACCGCAUAAGACCACAGCACCGCAUGGUGCAGGGGUAAAAACUCCGGUGGUAUGAGAUGGACCCGCGUCUGAUUAGGUAGUUGGUGGGGUAACGGCCUACCAAGCCGACGAUCAGUAGCCGACCUGAGAGGGUGACCGGCCACAUUGGGACUGAGACACGGCCCAAACUCCUACGGGAGGCAGCAGUGGGGAAUAUUGCACAAUGGGGGAAACCCUGAUGCAGCGACGCCGCGUGAGCGAAGAAGUAUUUCGGUAUGUAAAGCUCUAUCAGCAGGGAAGAAAAUGACGGUACCUGACUAAGAAGCACCGGCUAAAUACGUGCCAGCAGCCGCGGUAAUACGUAUGGUGCAAGCGUUAUCCGGAUUUACUGGGUGUAAAGGGAGCGUAGACGGAGUGGCAAGUCUGAUGUGAAAACCCGGGGCUCAACCCCGGGACUGCAUUGGAAACUGUCAAUCUAGAGUACCGGAGAGGUAAGCGGAAUUCCUAGUGUAGCGGUGAAAUGCGUAGAUAUUAGGAGGAACACCAGUGGCGAAGGCGGCUUACUGGACGGUAACUGACGUUGAGGCUCGAAAGCGUGGGGAGCAAACAGGAUUAGAUACCCUGGUAGUCCACGCC